UUGACCAGGAUGGUCUCGAUCUCUUGAGCUUGUGAUCCGCCCGCCUCGGCCUCCCAAAGUGCUGGGAUUACAGGCGUGAGCCACCGCGCCCAGCCGAUAGGCCAUCUUUUUAAAAAAAAGUUGACCAUAAGCAGCUUCUAUACAUAUCCUAAAGACAGUAAUUUUUUUUCUUUUUUGAGAUGGUGUCUUGCUCUGUCAGGCUGGAGUAUAGUGGUUCGUUACUUCCAUGUUUUAGACCUCAAAGUGAUCCAUAUAUACAUUUUUGGAUAUAAAAAGUAAAUCUAUCUCUAGGAUGUGGAAAUUUUUGUCAAGAUCAUUUUUUUCUUGAUUUCUCAGAAAAUUUUAUGUAACUUUUUAAUCUAAAAUAUAAUCUAUUAAGGUACAUCUGUAGAUGGCACUAGAGUUUUACUUUUUAUAACCUCUCAAGUUUGAAUAAGACAUUGCCAAAGUAAACUGGAAAUGAGGCUUAUUGAAAUAGUUGCUUAAUAAAGUUUAUGAUCCUCAAAUGGCUCUUUCCUGGUUGUCAAAUAAAAAUUGAAAAUUCCUUAAUAUGUGUUAUAUUUUGACCUUUAGGUUUGGAUUUGGGAUAAGAACAUGAUUUGUACUGUGGGUUUUUAAGUCAUGUCUCACUGAAACUCCCAAACUUGCUUUGAAGAAAUCUUAAUAUACCUUUGAUUGUGGAAGUAAAGGGAAAUAAUUAGCUUUCCUUCAGUAUUUCAGAAGUAUUCACGUUAGACGGUUGCUUUCAAGAAAUAGCAGUUAACCUAUUAGGAAAGCUGCAAUGCUCAUUACAAAUAAUCAUCUUUAAUAUUUUGACUUUGCAACCUGAAGUGGAAGAACUUUCAAACACCUGCAUUUAAAACUUUAUUCCCCUUUUGCUAGAAUAUCUGUAUCAUUAUGGGCCUAUCAAAAAUCUCAAACCUGGAGGAAUUAUUUCUGCCUUGCAAAUGUAUGUCACAUAUGAAAGUUUUCUUUCUUGUCAACCCCAAAUAUUCUAUAUUAUUUUUUCAAACCAAAUGAAUCCCUAGGAAGAUGAGCACUUAACCUGAUAAAGCUAGCACAGGCAUUACCGGCAAGGAUAAAGAAUGGUAAAUUACAGAUGUCAUGAAGUCAAGUCUCCCAGCAUAGCAGUGGUUUUGUACACAAUAGGCACCUGAGGAAGUCGAAAAGGAAGUGCUGCUACUGAGGAAUAAGGUGUCUGGCAAGAGUUUUUAAAAACACUGUAAGGAUUAUAACUCACCGUUGCAGUUUUUACAGUUGUAACAUUAAAAUAGGACCUCUGAUAUAUUUUAAGUUGGCUUUAUCAUCCAGUGUAUUACCUUCAGUAUCCUCUCUCGGACUACAGCUUUUUGAAAGGAGUUUGGCACUAUUGGUAGUGUCACUAUUAUUAAAAUCAGUAGCACAGUCUUUAGAUUAUUAAAGUACAUUCCUAAAUUUUUCUAAGUCCAAGUGUAUUGUAACUUGCUAGCCUGGAGAAG